AACAAACGCUGGCGGCGUGUCUUAAGCAUGCAAGUCGAGCGGCAGGCGCAGCAAUGCGCUGAGUGCGGCGGACUGGUGAGUAACGCGUGGGUAAUCUACCUUUGGCAUGGGGAUAGCCACUAGAAAUAGUGGGUAAUACCGAAUACGUUCCCUGGGGGGAGGUUUCAGGGAAGAAAGGGUGCUACGGCACCGGCCAAAGAUGAGCUCGCGUCCCAUUAGCUAGUUGGUGAGGUAAUGGCCCACCAAGGCGAUGAUGGGUAGCCGGCCUGAGAGGGUGUACGGCCACACUGGGACUGAGAUACGGCCCAGACUCCUACGGGAGGCAGCAGCUAAGAAUAUUCCGCAAUGGACGAAAGUCUGACGGAGCGACGCCGCGUGGAUGAUGAAGGCCGAAAGGUUGUAAAGUCCUUUUGCUGGGGAAGAAUAAGUGUGGGAGGGAAUGCCCGCAUGAUGACAUGAACCGGCGAAUAAGCCCCGGCCAACUACGUG
rnacentral:rRNA from 1 species